GACAGAGGAUGCAAGCGUUAUCCGGAAUGAUUGGGCGUAAAGCGUCUGUAGGUGGCUUUUAAGUCCGCCGUCAAAUCCCAGGCUCAACCCUGGACAGGCGGUGGAAACUACCAAGCUGGAGUACGGUAGGGGUAGAGGGAAUUUCCAGUGGAGCGGUGAAAUGCGUAGAUAUUGGAAAGACCACCAAUGGCGAAGGCAGCUCGCUGGGACGUACUGACACUGAGGCGCGAAAGCGUGGGAGCGAACAGG
rnacentral:rRNA from 1 species